rnacentral:rRNA from 1 species
UACGUAGGGGGCAAGCGUUGUCCGGAAUUAUUGGGCGUAAAGAGCGCGUAGGCGGUCCGAUAAGUCGGCUGUGAAAGUCAAGGGCUCAACCCUGGGAUGCCGGUGGAUACUGUCGGGCUCGAGUCCGGAAGAGGCGAGUGGAAUUCCUGGUGUAGCGGUGAAAUGCGCAGAUAUCAGGAGGAACACCAAUGGCGAAGGCAGCUCGCUGGGACGUGACUGACGCUGAGACGCGAAAGCGUGGGGAGCAAACAGG